GUAGGUCAUUGUAAUACCAAGGUAGAGGGAAUAAAAUAUAGAGUUUUUUCUUCUGAAAUCCUAGCCACCAUCUCUCUCUUUCUCUCUCACAUGUUCUCAUCCACGAUUCAAUUAGAUUUUCACGUUCUUCUUAUCUUUUCUUAAGUUUUCUGGAUUAACACUCAAGUUCUGUGCAAGACAUCGGUCCGCAACUGGUAUCGAACAGGUACCAGGUCCUUACAAUUGAUAUCAGAGUCAGUUUGAGCAUGG
rnacentral:lncRNA from 1 species